UUCAGUGACUGUAGAAGCUGUGUGUGGAACGCGGUAGAGCCACAGGAUGGAAAGGUAUCAGCUCCCUAAUCAUGGAGAAGAGCCAUCUGCCAAUCAAGAAAACCGAUUUUGGACUUUAAGUGAGCAAGUGAAGUUUCAUCAAAUCACAUCAUGUGACUCUCCAGGAACCUCACUGAACGGGUCUGACUCAUCGUCUGGGAAUUUUAAAUAGGAAUGCUCAACUGGUAAGGGAAAAGCGCCUCAAAUGAGCAUGGGCACAACUUCAGUAAACACACCACGCAUGUGACCUCUGUGCAUGUGGACAGCCCCCGAGGGAAAAAUCGAGGGAGGAGAAAUGGAAACCCCAGAAUCAUGCCAAUGUAUAAAACUGCAAGUCAAGGGUUGGACAGAGGAUUUGGGUCUCUCAAGUUGCCUGCUUGUCCCUCUUCCAAGUGUACUUUACUUCCUUUUGUUCCUGCUCUAGAACUUUUUAAUAAACAUUCACUCCUCCUCU
rnacentral:lncRNA from 10 species